GCUAGGGGCUGGGCUUCCGUGAGGGCGUGUUCCUUCACGAGUGCGUCUGGAGACUUUUACUUACUGGGUUUAGACCCAACCCUGCGCGCUCGAGUUCAGUCAGGCUCAACCGCAAUUUAAAGACAAAAUUCACCAAGAUGAUGUCAGUACAGCUAGUGAAAUGGAGCAUACCUCCUCAGCCCCUCGGCCUCUAGAAGCUAGACUGCCAAGGGUCUGCGUACAGAAGCUAACGGAACUCAGAAAGACACGACAAGAGCAGAAAUGCUGAGAAAAAUCUAAAAGGUGCUCGACAACAUGGCAUGCUUCUGCUGAAAAUCCCACUGGUCACCUCCAGCAAAUCUGACAGAUGAGAGAGCUGUGCUGCUGGCACACUAAGUGGAGGGGCUGCAGAGACGGCUCACUUGUUAGGUGCUUGCCAUGUGAGAAUGAAGAUCUGGAUUCUGCUCCCCAGUACGUGGAAAGCCAGGCAUGGCAGCAUGUGCCCACAGUGCCAGGACUGAGAGGGCAGAGGCGGGAAGAAACCUGAAGCUUGCUGCCAGCCAGUUUAGCUCAGCCAGUGAGCUCCAGGUUGACUGCCUCAAGAAUGAAGACGGAGGGGGCUGGAGAGAUGGCUCAGUGGUUAAGAGCACUGACUGCUCUUCCAGAGGUCCUGAGUUCAAUUCCCAGCAACCACGUGGUGGCUCACAACCAUCUGUAAUGAGACCCGGUGCCCCCUUCUGGCCUGCGGGCACACAUGGAAGGAAUGCUGCACACAUAAUAAAUAAAUAGAUCUUUAAAAAAAAAAAAAAAGAAUGAAGAUGGAGAACUACUGAGAAGACUCUACGGGUUGACCUAUGGCCUCUACAUGUACCACACAGGCACACACGAGUGGGGUGGGAAGAAGCUGACUGAAAGCACUGUGAUGUGCUAGAACUUUCUGGGGCCUGCGAGGAGUGCUUAGAGCUCUGCCCCAGAUGAGAGGAAAUGGAAUUCCAUCUCCUCUGCAAACUCCAGGGUGAGUAUUCUUAGAAUCCAGCUUCUGCUGGCAAAACACACCUCAUCUGGAGGGUGCCACACCAGGUUGCCUGGUUUCUGGGCCAGCCAUGUAUGGAAAAAAUGUGAGGGAUGUUUUAGCCAUUAAAAUGAACUCCCCCUAGUAAUUAGGUAUUUUCUGGUUAAUGAGAUAGAGCAGUUCCAACAGAGACAAUAAUUGCUUCCAAUGAUUUAAGGAGUGGUGAGCUUAAUUAUUUUAUCCAGGGUUUGGAAACAGACACAAGCAGAUCAUAGCUAUGGAUGUUACUGUCUAGGCAGCUCACCGUGGCUACUGGGAGCUGAGAUUAGAGCUUUCCAAACUUGAUGACUCUCACCUCAGGAACUCACAAAAACUGAGAUACACCUAGGCAGCAGGCACUUCCAUUGGUAAUGCCUCUUUUGCCCCACUCCCUCUUAAGGCUGGGUCUUACCAUGUUGCCUUGGCUGGCCUGCAACUCUCUAUGUAGACCAGGCUGGCCUAAAACUCAUACAAAUGUAUCUGCCUCUGCUUCCUGUGUGCUGAAAUUAAAGAUAUGCACCACCAUA